CCAGAGAUGGCUUGGUGCCUUCGGGAACUGUGAGACAGGUGCUGCAUGGCUGUCGUCAGCUCGUGUUGUGAAAUGUUGGGUUAAGUCCCGCAACGAGCGCAACCCUUAUCCUUUGUUGCCAGCGGUUAGGCCGGGAACUCAAAGGAGACUGCCAGUGAUAAACUGGAGGAAGGUGGGGAUGACGUCAAGUCAUCAUGGCCCUUACGACCAGGGCUACACACGUGCUACAAUGGCGCAUACAAAGAGAAGCGACCUCGCGAGAGCAAGCGGACCUCAUAAAGUGCGUCGUAGUCCGGAUUGGAGUCUGCAACUCGACUCCAUGAAGUCGGAAUCGCUAGUAAUCGUAGAUCAGAAUGCUACGGUGAAUACGUUCCCGGGCCUUGUACACACCGCCCGUCACACCAUGGGAGU
rnacentral:rRNA from 2 species